GGGAGCCUGGAAGAGCAGCUGGGGAGAUUGGCGUCCUACCCCACUGCCGGUCUUCCCAGGGACUGAGAGAGGGAACAGGAAAUUGGUAAUGUCUAUUCUCCAAGAGAGUUUUCCUUGGCCUGUGGCCAGGCUGCUCAAAUAGAAUGCAGAAACAAAGAAUUUGCCUGAAUUCUGCUAGCCACUCUCCAAGGUCUUCUCCUGCGAUGGGUGGAGGGACUUUCAGGGCAACCCUGUUCUAAGUAGGAGGUGAAGGUGAUAUCCAGACAAAUCCUUCCUGGGUAUUUGCUCGGGGGAACUUGGGACUUUUUGGCAGUAUUGUCUAUGGCUCUGGCUCAUUAAUUCAGCCCUCGUGUUCCCGUAUCUGCAAGGGCAUAACUGCAGUCCCCUCAGUUCUCUGGGUAAUGUGACUCUCACUGCAAACCUCAACAUGGAAAGCUCUUGCUAAGGUGGGAAGGUCUCAGUCCUCCAAAGGAAACGAAGUUGUGGCAGCCUUUUUACUAGAAGGAUCAACUUAGUAAUUAACAAAAAUACUUAAAAUAAUGAAGAGGAGGUGGGUGUAAUCAAGAACUAUGAUUAUUCAGGAUCUCUGUAGGAGUAAAUGUAUUACUUCAAAAUUCUCCAGUUUUGCACGCCCAUGUUUAUUGCAGCA
ensembl:lncRNA NUTM2A-AS1 NUTM2A antisense RNA 1